rnacentral:lncRNA from 1 species
CAGAUUUCAGUGACGGUGUUCUGAUCACUCAAUGGCCGAAAUACAUAUCCAGACUUCCAGGCUUCUCAGUUGAAAUGCACUGUUACCAAAAUGAUACAAAUUAUGACUACAAAUACUGGUACAGACAAAUAAAAGGAGAGCUAGAGCUUGUUGGGAGCUACAUUGUUAGCUCUGGCUCGACUGAGAAGGAUUUUGGAACCGGUUUUACAGUGUCAGGUACAGAGAAGAAGCAAUGGACCCUGAAAGUGGAUGUUAAGGAGGGGAUUGAUGCUGUGUAUCUGUGUGCUGCUAGUUUACACAGUGAAUAAACACUAAUAAAUUGUACAACAAAAACCCAUUGGAUGGCAACCUCUAAAUCACACCUGCCUCAACCACAAAGAAAUAAACCCAUAUCUCUACAGACAAGUCAGCAGAACCUUACAACCCGCACAUACAGUAGAAUUACAUUAAUCAUUUUACACCCCUCCCUUAUGCCAAAAGCACUUUCACACAAAGGUCUUGUUGAUGUGACGCAGUCAGUAGGGGGAGAUGUGACUUUAAUGUACAGGUAUUCCUCUCUCUCUGUUGAUAUUAAAGUCUUGUACUCUCUCUCUCUCACCUUGUCAGAUUAUUUUUGCUGUGUGCAUAGCCAGAGUAUUUUUUAACCCUGUUUUAGAAGAAUGUUCAGAGCUGCGUAUGGACUGUGCGUUUAUUUCUUAUUAUAUAUAGGGAUGGUGCGAUGUGUGACCGUUCAACAGAACCCCACAUCCAUUUUAGCCAACGAGAAAUCUGCAGUGAUAAAUUGUAGUUAUGAUGACAGUAACAUGGAUUAUAUGCAAUGGUAUCAGCAGAAGGAUACAGCCAUGGUCUUGAUCGUGUUCAGUUUCAGUGCUACAAGUGACCCCACGUUUGAGGAUGGAUUUAAAGACCGGACUGAACUGGACAGAACAGAAACACUGAAGGGAGCUCUGAAAAUCUCUGAUCUCAGUUCAUCAGACUCGGCUGUUUAUUACUGUGCUGUCAGUAUGCACAGUGCUGUAGUCUUUAUUACCUGCCUGACUAAAAACCAAACCACCAGACAAACAGGAAAUGCAAUACAUACAAAAGAGGAAUCUAACUUCUGUUUCUUUUUUUUCAGAUUUUCUUUUUCAAAGAUUUUUACUGUUUUACUGUUUUUCCUGAUUUUUCUAUCAGUUUUUAAUUGA